rnacentral:misc_RNA from 1 species
AGUCGUAACAAGGUUUCCGUAGGUGAACCUGCGGAAGGAUCAUUAAUAAAUGCGUGGGAAGGUAUGCGGGGAAGGGUGUCCUUGGUAGAGGUAUACUGCCUCCCGAAAUGUGGGACACGCCAACCGCAUUCCGGAACACACAGUUACACCCUUGAUUAUUUACAAUUGUUGCUUUGGUGGACCGCCUCCGGGCGUGGGCCUUGGCCUGCCGUGUCCGCCAGAGGACCCAAACUCUGCUUUUAGUGACGUCUGAGUACUAUAUAAUAGUUAAAA